rnacentral:rRNA from 1 species
CCUACGGGAGGCAGCAGUGGGGAAUAUUGCUCAAUGGGGGAAACCCUGAUGCAGCCACGCCGCGUGAGUGAAGAAGUAUUUCGGCAUGUAAAGCUCUUUUAGCAGGGAAGAAAAUGACAGUACCUGACCAAGAAGCAGCGGACAACUACGUGCCGGCAGCCGCGGUAAUACGUAGGGGGCCAGCGUUAUCCGGAUUAUCUGGGUGUAAAGGGGGCGUAUACGGUUUUGGAAGUCAGGUGUGAAAGGCUUGGGCCCAACCCCCGGACUGCUGUGGAAACUGUGUCUAUGGAGUGUAGGAGGGGUAGGCGGAAUGCGUGGUGUAGCGGUGAAAUGCGUAGAUAUCAGGAGGAACACCGAUGGCGAAGGCGGCCUACUGGAGUCGAACUGACGUUGAGGCACGAAAGCGUGGGGAGCAAACAGGAUUAGAUACCCGUGUAGUC